rnacentral:rRNA from 1 species
CCUACGGGCGGCUGCAGUGGGGAAUAUUGCACAAUGGGCGCAAGCCUGAUGCAGCCAUGCCGCGUGUGUGAAGAAGGCCUUCGGGUUGUAAAGCACUUUCAGCGGGGAGGAAGGCGGUGAGGUUAAUAACCUCAUCGAUUGACGUUACCCGCAGAAGAAGCACCGGCUAACUCCGUGCCAGCAGCCGCGGUAAUACGGAGGGUGCAAGCGUUAAUCGGAAUUACUGGGCGUAAAGCGCACGCAGGCGGUCUGUCAAGUCGGAUGUGAAAUCCCCGGGCUCAACCUGGGAACUGCAUUCGAAACUGGCAGGCUAGAGUCUUGUAGAGGGGGGUAGAAUUCCAGGUGUAGCGGUGAAAUGCGUAGAGAUCUGGAGGAAUACCGGUGGCGAAGGCGGCCCCCUGGACAAAGACUGACGCUCAGGUGCGAAAGCGUGGGGAGCAAACAGGAUUAGAUACCUGGUAGUC